rnacentral:rRNA from 1 species
ACACAUGCAAGUCGAACGGGUAACAGGGAGCUUGCUCCGCUGACGAGUGGCGAACGGGUGAGUAAUACAUCGGAACGUGCCCAGUAAUGGGGGAUAGCUCGGCGAAAGCCGGAUUAAUACCGCAUACGCCCUGAGGGGGAAAGUGGGGGACCGCAAGGCCUCACGUUAUUGGAGCGGCCGAUGGCUGAUUAGCUAGUUGGUAGGGUAAAGGCCUACCAAGGCGACGAUCAGUAGCUGGUCUGAGAGGACGAUCAGCCACACUGGGACUGAGACACGGCCCAGACUCCUACGGGAGGCAGCAGUGGGGAAUUUUGGACAAUGGGGGAAACCCUGAUCCAGCAAUGCCGCGUGUGCGAAGAAGGCCUUCGGGUUGUAAAGCACUUUUGUCAGGGAAGAAAUCCUUUGGGCUAAUACCCUAGGGGGAUGACGGUACCUGAAGAAUAAGCACCGGCUAACUACGUGCCAGCAGCCGCGGUAAUACGUAGGGUGCAAGCGUUAAUCGGAAUUACUGGGCGUAAAGCGUGCGCAGGCGGUUGUGUAAGACAGGUGUGAAAUCCCCGGGCUUAACCUGGGAAUUGCAUUUGUGACUGCACGACUAGAGUGUGUCAGAGGGGGGUGGAAUUCCACGUGUAGCAGUGAAAUGCGUAGAUAUGUGGAGGAACACCAAUGGCGAAGGCAGCCCCUGGGGAUAACACUGACGCUCAUGCACGAAA